rnacentral:siRNA from 1 species
GCAAGGCUGAAACUUAAA